GUUUUUAAGAGACAUUCACAGGCUUCCAAAGGAUAUUUUGGGCAAUCUUACAUAGUAAUAGACAAAAAUCUGGUGUUAUGGUGCCUUCAUUGGUGUUAAAUUGUAACACACCUCGAGUCCAUGAUGAUAGCUGUGGAAUAAGGGAGACAAUAACCUAGAAGGUGGUGCAGCAGUUUAGAUUCUAAAUCCCACAAAGGAAUAAGAGCAACCUGCCUUCUUAAACUGUCUUCUGGAGGCAGUGCCUGAGGAGAGAAAAUGAGUUCCCUGCAUCCCUAUUUGAGACUUGGUGUGUAGCACUGCCUGAGCUGGAGAAAAGAAUGCAGACUGGAUACAACGAAGUACCGAGGAAGCAACAAUUACCAGAUGGAUGGUUCUCAGUCCCACCUCUUUCUUUCUGUGUAACCUUGACAAGAAGUCUUUCUCCCUGGCCUAUUUCCCUACAUUCAAGCCACCAAGUUGCAGAUGCUACCAUGAUGCCAACCUGACUUCCCUGGGCAGACAACCUCAACAAUGUGUCCUGGAACCCCACUUCUCCAGAGCCCUGCCCCACUAUGGAAAGAGAGAUAGGCUAGGAGUUUGGAUCAACCUAUCAAUGCCCAUGUCCAGAGAAGAAGCAAUUACAGAAGCCAAACCUUCCACCUUCUGCACCCCAUGAUGAUCCUGGGUCCAUGCUCCCAGAGGGAUAAAUAAAAAGAAAGCUUCCAAUGGAAGGGAAGGGAUACAGAACUCUGGUGGUGGGAGUUGU